GGUUGACGUUUCACAAAAUAUCUUCUUUUUCCCAAUAAUUUAUUUGUUUACCUGGUAAUAUUUCAUAAACAUUCAAUUUUGUUCAAGAAAAUGGCCAGCAUGACUGUUCAAACAUGUCACAUAUCAAACGAUGGGUCUAUAAAAACAGCAUAUAGAAAAUUCAAUAACAUUGAAACACCAUAUUCAGAACAUGUGGUGCUCAUUCCUGGAGACUGAAAUAUCUUAAAUUUUGGCAGCCCAUCUUGUACGAUGUGGACGUAAAAUGCCACAAUCAAUGGAAGGAAACCGAGCAUAUUCCUGCUACCAAAAACUAGGUAAGCGUUAAAAACAUUAUAAUUCUGACUUGCAUAACAUAUAGAGUACAACUGACUGGCCAGCAACGUUCAGCAAAGAUAUUUAUAGUCUCACAAAACAUAAUGGUGCUGUGAUCCUCAGCUGAGAUCUCACAUAUCAGUGGGCAGGCUUUUUCAUGCGGAAAAUUGUAGAAAUGCUGGUCGGAUUUCUGAGCUCUGUCUUGCUUCACAGAACUGUCUUACAAAGGCCAAGUAUUACCGGAUAAAUAUGGAUCAAGAGGUGCACAUUUAGCUGUUCAGCCUGAAACACAGAGCACUAUGAAUUCACAUUUUUGUGUUGUUUUUAGUAUAAAUACUUGGCCAUUCUGGACUAUGGGUGAAAGAGCUUGCAAGGUAUCAUUUAAAGCAGAAGAUAUUUUUCAACAAAGAUUUGUUUGCUAUUACAGAGAGAGAGUAAUCCACAUCAUCCUAGCUCCUUUCUAUGUGUCAUACCUUAAGAGAUACAUUAUUUCAUACUGCAGUAGAGUGCAGUACAUAGCUCUUCCUUCUAUCUUUUCAUUUCCUCCACAGCUCAUGUGUUCUCUUUUUUCCCCUUCUUUGCCUGCAUGAAUAAUAUGCAGUGACUCUCUAUAUAAGGCAUGACUGUUUGCUUGAACCUUUAAUACAAAUGUUGAAUCUCCUCUUGGGAGCUACAGUGAUUCAAUUCCAUUAAUCAAACUGGAUAGAAGAAUUUUAUUUUAAAUGCACUAUAAACUUUUUCUCCCAGAAUCUAGGAUUUUCAUAAUACUGUCCUGAAUACUACAAUAUCUUCCUGUGAAUAUUCAUCCUUUAAAAGGAGUUGAUGAUGUUUUUGAAUUAGUUGCAGGUUAUAGAUAUUGACGAUUCUGUUCACUUAUGUGUCAAGCUAGGAAACCACUGGAUUAUUUGUACAGAUAUUUCCACCCUUCUCCCUUGAGUUCGUCGAGUGUCUCAUUUUAAUUUGGCAAGAAAGCGAGCCUUUUAAACAACUGGCUGUGGGUUUAUGGGAGUCGUCCUAGGACUAUUGAGCUUGGUGGGAAAACAAAUGAAAAGCCAAAAUGCUGGUGAGAUUAAAAGGGUGCUGUGUGAAAUUAUGAUUUGAAAUAGAAUGUGACUAAACAUUGUGUUAAUCAAAAAUAAACAGCAGCUCAGUAAACA
rnacentral:lncRNA from 1 species